rnacentral:rRNA from 1 species
GGGGGAUAACUACUGGAAACGGUAGCUAAUACCGCAUAACGUCGCAAGACCAAAGAGGGGGACCUUCGGGCCUCUUGCCAUCGGAUGUGCCCAGAUGGGAUUAGCUUGUUGGUGGGGUAACGGCUCACCAAGGCGACGAUCCCUAGCUGGUCUGAGAGGAUGACCAGCCACACUGGAACUGAGACACGGUCCAGACUCCUACGGGAGGCAGCAGUGGGGAAUAUUGCACAAUGGGCGCAAGCCUGAUGCAGCCAUGCCGCGUGUAUGAAGAAGGCCUUCGGGUUGUAAAGUACUUUCAGCGGGGAGGAAGGGAGUAAAGUUAAUACCUUUGCUCAUUGACGUUACCCGCAGAAGAAGCACCGGCUAACUCCGUGCCAGCAGCCGCGGUAAUACGGAGGGUGCAAGCGUUAAUCGGAAUUACUGGGCGUAAAGCGCACGCAGGCGGUUUGUUAAGUCAGAUGUGAAAUCCCCGGGCUCAACCUGGGAACUGCAUCUGAUACUGGCAAGCUUGAGUCUCGUAGAGGGGGGUAGAAUUCCAGGUGUAGCGGUGAAAUGCGUAGAGAUCUGGAGGAAUACCGGUGGCGAAGGCGGCCCCCUGGACGAAGACUGACGCUCAGGUGCGAAAGCGUGGGGAGCAAACAGGAUUAGAUACCCUGGUAGUCCACGCCGUAAACGAUGUCGACUUGGAGGUUGUGCCCUUGAGGCGUGGCUUCCGGAGCUAACGCGUUAAGUCGACCGCCUGGGGAGUACGGCCGCAAGGUUAAAACUCAAAUGAAUUGACGGGGGCCCGCACAAGCGGUGGAGCAUGUGGUUUAAUUCGAUGCAACGCGAAGAACCUUACCUGGUCUUGACAUCCACGGAAGUUUUCAGAGAUGAGAAUGUGCCUUCGGGAACCGUGAGACAGGUGCUGCAUGGCUGUCGUCAGCUCGUGUUGUGAAAUGUUGGGUUAAGUCCCGCAACGAGCGCAACCCUUAUCCUUUGUUGCCAGCGGUCCGGCCGGGAACUCAAAGGAGACUGCCAGUGAUAAACUGGAGGAAGGUGGGGAUGACGUCAAGUCAUCAUGGCCCUUACGACCAGGGCUACACACGUGCUACAAUGGCGCAUACAAAGAGAAGCGACCUCGCGAGAGCAAGCGGACCUCAUAAAGUGCGUCGUAGUCCGGAUUGGAGUCUGCAACUCGACUCCAUGAAGUCGGAAUCGCUAGUAAUCGUGGAUCAGAAUGCCACGGUGAAUACGUUCCCGGGCCUUGUACACACCGCCCGUCACACCAUGGGAGUGGGUUGCAAAAGAAGUAGGUAGCUUAACCUUCGGGAGGGCGCUUACCACUUUGUGAUUCAUGACUGGGGUGAAGUCGUAACAAGGUAACCGUAGGGGAACCUGCGGUUGGAUCACCUCCUU